CAGCAGCCGCGGGAAUACGUAGGGUGCAAGCGUUAAUCGGAAUUACUGGGCGUAAAGCGUGCGCAGGCGGUUCGUUAAGACAGAUGUGAAAUCCCCGGGCUUAACCUGGGAACUGCAUUUGUGACUGGCGGGCUAGAGUAUGGCAGAGGGGGGUAGAAUUCCACGUGUAGCAGUGAAAUGCGUAGAGAUGAGGAGGAAUACCGAUGGCGAAGGCAGCCCCCUGGGCCAAUACUGACGCUCAUGCACGAAAGCGUGGGGAGCAAUCAGGAUUAGAUACCCCUGUAGUCCCUGUCUCUUAUAC
rnacentral:rRNA from 1 species